GUGACUCGAUGAGCUGAAUUGGGAGAGAGAAGAAGCUCAGAGUGGCUCCAUGACCAAGUUGAGAGAACUCCCAGAGCAUUACAGUAGAUAGAAAUAAGACAAUUGUACAAAUUGGCUUAGCAAAGCUCGAGUCUGAUACCAUAAGAGAAUGGACCUCGGGCCUAACUCAACCUUCAAAAGCUAGCUCAUGAGGCGAGUAUUGCCCAAGACCAUACAAGGAG
rnacentral:misc_RNA from 1 species